CUUCACACUUAUUAAGGCACAAACUACAGGCCAGUGUUAAAUGGCACAAGCAUUGAAGUGGUCAUGCCCGAAAGGUCUCAUCAUCCAUCUGCUAAUGGGUUUUCUAGCGAUGCACUUUAGCCUGAGUGGUGCCUUAAAAGCUCUGCUGGAAUUGAAGUCCUUGCCUCAAAACUAUCUGUGUUUGAAUUUUUAGAACCAAAAAAAAAAGCUAUGUCCUGUAGGGACUUGUUGAUAAACAAUUACCCAGAAUACUUGGGAAGUGGGGAUAAAUCUGUUCUUUUG